AGUGAACGCUGGCGGCGUGCUUAACACAUGCAAGUCGAACGAGAACGGGUUAUAGCUUGCUAUAAUUGUCAGCUAAGUGGCGCACGGGUGAGUAAUGUAUAGGUAAUAUGCCUCUUACUAAGGGAUAACAAAUGGAAACGUUUGCUAAUACCUUAUACUCCUUACUAACAGAAGUUAAUAAGGGAAAGAUUUAUUGGUAAGAGAUUAGCCUGUAUUGUAUCAGUUAGUUGGUGGGGUAAUGGCCUACCAAGACUAUGACACAUAACUGGUUUGAGAGGAUGAUCAGUCACACUGGAACUGAGACACGGUCCAGACUCCUACGGGAGGCAGCAGUGGGGGAUAUUGCACAAUGGACGAAAGUCUGAUGCAGCAACGCCGCGUGGAGGAUGACACAUUUCGGUGCGUAAACUCCUUUUAUAUGAGAAGAUAAUGACGGUAUUAUAUGAAUAAGCACCGGCUAACUCCGUGCCAGCAGCCGCAGUAA
rnacentral:rRNA from 1 species